AUGGAUAUGGAACACAAAAUACCAACAAAUUUAGUUGUACUUGCUAUUCAUGGAGAUGGGGAACCUCCUAAAACUCUCGAUGCUCGUUAUGUGAAAAUAUUAAACACUACUUUGAUAAUCCUGAGAAAACCCCCAUUCAACUUGAUAAUGGGAGACACGUUGGAUCAACGUGAAUACUUUAGGGAUUAUCGCUUGAUUCAAAAAGGAAAACUGUUAUGGGAACAAAUUCAUAAGUUGCAUUGGUAUGCUUGGGAUCUAUGCUUGAGAUAUGAUUAUCCGUGCUGCUCUAGGAUGAAGGUUCGACACCUUCCCUUUUGUAGAGUUGUGUGCUUUUAUAAAGUUUAA
rnacentral:rRNA from 1 species